GAUGAACGCUGGCGGCGUGCCUAAUACAUGCAAGUCGAGCGAACGGACGAGAAGCUUGCUUCUCUGAUGUUAGCGGCGGACGGGUGAGUAACACGUGGAUAACCUACCUAUAAGACUGGGAUAACUUCGGGAAACCGUAGCUAAUACCGGAUAAUAUUUUGAACCGCAUGGUUCAAAAGUGAAAGACGGUCUUGCUGUCACUUAUAGAUGGAUCCGCGCUGCAUUAGCUAGUUGGUAAGGUAACGGCUUACCAAGGCAACGAUGCAUAGCCGACCUGAGAGGGUGAUCGGCCACACUGGAACUGAGACACGGUCCAGACUCCUACGGGAGGCGGCAGUAGGGAAUCUUCCGCAAUGGGCGAAAGCCUGACGGAGCAACGCCGCGUGAGUGAUGAAGGUCUUCGGAUCGUAAAACUCUGUUAUUAGGGAAGAACAUAUGUGUAAGUAACUGUGCACAUCUUGACGGUACCCAAUCAGAAAGCCACGGCUAACUACGUG
rnacentral:rRNA from 1 species